AGCAGCCGCGGUAAUUCCAGCUCCAAUAGCGUAUAUUAAAGUUGUUGCAGUUAAAAAGCUCGUAGUUGAAUUUCGGGGUUAGUAGGUUGGUCAUGCCUCCGGUAUGUACUGAUCUUACUGAUUCCUCCUUCCUUAUGAACCGUAAUGCCAUUAAUUUGGUGUUGCGGGAAAUUUGGACUGUUACUUUGAAAAAAUUAGAGUGUUUAAAGCAAGCUAACGCUUGAAUACAUUAGCAUGGAAUAAUGAAAUAGGACGUUCGAUCUUAUUUUGUUGGUUUCUAGGAUUGACGUAAUGAUUAAUAGGGAUAGUUGGGGGCAUUAGUAUUCAAUUGUCAGAGGUGAAAUUCUUGGAUUUAUUGAAGACUAACUACUGCGAAAGCAUUUGCCAAGGAUGUUUUCAUUAAUCAAGAACGAAAGUUAGGGGAUCGAAGACGAUCAGAUACCGUCGUAGUCUUAACCAUAAACUAUGCCGACUAGGGAUCGGAUGAUGUUAAUUUUUAAUGACUCAUUCGGCGCCUUAC
rnacentral:rRNA from 1 species